GGCCAGUCAUGUUCUGUAAGCCUUUUCCUCCUGGUGUUUCAGAUAUUGGUGUUUGAGCACGAGUGUUCCCUUUUAAUCCUAGAGCGAUGUCAACCUGCGGUACUCAGAACAAGGAGUGGGAAAGGCGUGCGGCCAAUUUCUGCUUUCGUUUGAAUCUCCUGAACAUUUUCUUUCGUAUUUGCUGCUGCUACAUAUAGGUUCUUUGUUUCAAAGGCACCUUAAAGGGCCCUUGGCAGCACAAUCCAGGCAAGAUAACUCUCCCCCAAAACGGAAGAAUGUCUCCACUGCAAACACACAACCAAGAGAGGGAGGCAAGCACGCAACUAACAAUGCAGGACCAGAGACAAAGCCUCAGAAUCCUUCUUGACACAAUAUUGCAGGCAGCAGCAUCUGAGUUCAAAAGAAAAAAACCCAUUUGGAGAAGCUGACCUAGGUGAAGACUGCCUAAUCCAGGUGCCCAAGCAUUUAAAGCUUGUUUCUCUGCAGAACUCAUUCAAUAAAUAUUAAUACAUCUACCAUAUGUGGGCACAUUGUAUUCCACAGUGCAGUGGCAAGCAAGCUGGACAACGUUCAGAGCCCUUGGGAAGCUUACAUUCUGGAAGAGAAGGCAGGCAACUAGCAAGUCAUGAAACCUAUCACUGCCCUGAGAGAGAAUAACCCAGGAGGCUACACUGGACAAGAUGGUCCUGGAAGAUUGCACUGAGGAGGUGACAGUUAAGCCGAGAAGGCUUAACUGGCACGUGCAAAGGUCCUGAGGAAGGAAGGAGGCAUCUGCACUGGCUGAAGGCAAGUGAUGGAAGCAGAGAAGGUAAGAGAUUAGAUGGAGAAGUGGGAAGUCUCUCUUCCCUUCAGCACUAGAGGUACGAGGGCUAAAAGAGAAGAAGGAAUGAAUGACUGAUUAAUUGUGCUAGGCUCAGGUACAGAUUAAUCAGAUAAAGGUGUCGUUUGAAGUCCUGACAUAGAGAGCCUAGCCCAGAACAGCUGGAUCUGGAAUUGGCUCUAAACAUGGGCAACACCACUUUGGGGCUCAGUGUUUGCUUACUGGGCCUCUUGCUAACCUUAACAUCAGGCCCUGCUAGUAGUAAGCUUUGCCCAGAAAAGCAGGUGAGUGGCAAGCUAUUUGCAGGAGUGGCGACUACCGCGGAACAGCAAAGAUGCAGGCUGACCUCACAGACUUCUUUCUGAACUCUCCCCAUAUGUUUGGCAGAGCUAAAAGAGCUGCCCCAGCACCAUCCAGCCAGGUGCCUGGUACUGGUACCCACAUGUUGGCAGAUGAAAAAUGACUACUAUAAAAUCUAUAUUCCCAGGGGUCUUCACCACUCUGCUGGAUUGGUCACGAUUCCUUCUUUUUACAAGACGACCAUUCUGCCUCUGGUUGCAAAACUGCACCCUCUGAAGCUGCUGCUCACCCAUUGGAAGUAACAUACCCUCUGCCGCUACAAAUCCAUUAACUUCUGAUGGAGCCGUUCCAGUGCCCUUCAAAGAACCUGGCCCCUGUAUCUCUUUAAAGGUCCAGAAACAAAUAUUUGAAAACUGCCUGUUCCUAGCACCAGAGUUGGAUACAGAUCUUUAAAGCUCUCUAGCCUAAACCUCCAUGUGACAUUUGUAUUUCUUCUGCCACACUGCUUCCAAGGGGUACUCGUGCCCUGGCUUGAAUGCUCAAGGGAAGAGGAUCUUACUACAGUGGUGUGUUUCAGAGGCUGGAAAACCACCAAGGAAGCUGACCUCUGGCUGUCCCACCGUUAAUCAUCUUUUGAGGGAGAAGCUUGAGAGGAAACCAAAACAACAGGUUGGCAUCCUGGGGUGUGUUUUGGAGUAUGUUUGAGGUUGUCCAUCAACCGGUGAGAACCCAUGGCCAAACCCUCUCUCCCAGCUGGCCCUGCAGUGACCCCCACACACCUGCCUUUGGGAAAGGUGGGCAUCUGCACCCCUCCCCGUAGAAGACUUAGCUUGAUGCCUGCAGGUUCUACGAAGUUCCUUCUCAUUGUGUGCAUUCUUCUCCGUGGCUUAAUUGUAUGUGUGCACAGGCUGUGUCAAAUGGAGUUGCCUUUCCUCUGCUCACUGCGUAUUACAUUUUUAAUCAGUAUAUAUAAUUACUUAACACAAGCUGCCAGGCCAGAUUUUCUGAGCAUUAGUCUAAUUAACUUAAGCUUGAUAAUUAUAUUUCAGAUACCAUAGCAGUACACACGGAAUCUGCACAUUCUGCCACCAGCUUAUUUGAUUCCGAUAACAUGUUUUCUCAGACAGUGGCUUAGUUUUGACUUGUUUUCUAAAAAAUGGCCAUCUGAUAAUUAUUUUGGUUUCAAAGUUUCCCCUCAGAUGAAAUCAUUCUGCUACUAAAGAGAGCUUCUGGAGUGAUUAAUACAGACUGGACUGAAAUAGAUUCCUGUGUAUUUUUAUACAAAUCUAUUUUUGCUAAUAUAAACUCACACUGAGGUGAAAUGAAAGAGUUCUGAGGGUCAAAUGGCAGAAUCUUUUAUGUUUCAACUGACCUAUGUUUGGCCUUUUCUAUUUCUAUUGAUAAAAAAUGAGAGGAAAGGAGAAAUAAAAAACAAACAAACAAAGAGAAACUCCAAGACUUGUAAGGAAGAAAGCUGAGCUUCUGGUUUGAAUUAGGGUAUGCUAAAAUCCCACACUAAUAAUAUCCGAUUCCCCUAGGGCUUACUAUGUGCCGGGCACUGUAUUAAGCUAUUUUUGUGGAUUAUCUCAUCUAGUCAUCCUAACAACCCUGCAUCGUAGGGGUAUGUGUUAUGAGGUGUAUUGUAUACCCUCAAAAUACAUGCUGAAGCCCUAACCCCCUGUACCUCAGAGUGUAACUUUGUUGGAAAUAGGGUCUUCACAGAGGUAAUCAAGGCACAAGAAGAGCACUAGAGUGGGCUCUAGUCCCCUAUGACUAGUGUCCUUCUACAAAGGGAAAAUUGGGGCGAAGAGAACAGCCAUGCGCACAAGACCAUUGUGUGAGGAUGAAGACAAGGGUUGGAGUGACAGGUCUACAAGUCAAGCGAUGCCAAAGAUUGCAACAAACCACCUGCAGUGAGGUGGAGGCACAGAACAGAUUCUCCCUCACAGCCCUCAGAAGGAACCAACUCUAUUGUCACCUUCGUCUCAGACUUCCAGCCUCCCAA